AUUGAACGCUGGCGGCAGGCCUAACACAUGCAAGUCGAACGGUAACAGGAAGAAGCUUGCUUCUUUGCUGACGAGUGGCGGACGGGUGAGUAAUGUCUGGGAAACUGCCUGAUGGAGGGGGAUAACUACUGGAAACGGUAGCUAAUACCGCAUAACGUCGCAAGACCAAAGAGGGGGACCUUCGGGCCUCUUGCCAUCGGAUGUGCCCAGAUGGGAUUAGCUAGUAGGUGGGGUAACGGCUCACCUAGGCGACGAUCCCUAGCUGGUCUGAGAGGAUGACCCCCCACCCGAGAACUGAGAACCGGUCCAAACCCCUACGGGGGGCAGCAGUGGGGAAUUUUGCACAAUGGGGGCAAGCCUGAUGCAGCCAUGCCGGGUGGAAGAAGAAGGCCUUCGGGUUGUAAAGUUCUUUCCGGGGGGAGGAAGGGAAUAAAGUUAAAACCUUUGCUCAUUGACUUUCCCCGCAGAAGAAGCACCGGCUAACUCCGU
rnacentral:rRNA from 1 species